rnacentral:rRNA from 1 species
GGUGGUUACAGCGUCGGGGUCCCACCUCUUCCCAUUCCGAACAGAGAAGUUAAGCCCGACCGCGCCGAUGGUACUGCGGUAACACGUGGAAGAGUAGGUCGCCGCC